rnacentral:rRNA from 1 species
GACGUAGGGCGCGAGCGUUGUCCGGAUUUAUUGGGCGUAAAGAGCUCUUAGGCGGCUUGUCGCGUCGUCCGUGAAAACCCACAGCUCAACUGUGGGCUUGCGGUCGAUACGGGCAGGCUAGAGUUCGGUAGGGGAGACUGGAAUUCCUGGUGUAGCGGUGAAAUGCGCAGAUAUCAGGAGGAACACCGGUGGCGAAGGCGGGUCUCUGGGCCGAUACUGACGCUGAGGAGCGAAAGCGUGGGGAGCGAACAGG